UCUCCCGCCCGUGAGCAAAGCUGAGCGAAUCCUGCUCCGCCGAGGUCGAGCCUCGCACCGUGCGAGCUCCGCCGGAGUUCACCUGACGGCCGUCAGGCCCGCACAGAAACUUCCCGAGACGGUGGCAUGCAGACAAAGAAGCAUUCUUCUGAGGACCUGGCAUUCCACCCGAACACUCACUGUCUUUCUGAGUUUUUGCCUCAGAGUUGCUGACUCCUACUUCCUGGGCCCAAUCACAGUCCCAGAGACACAGAGCAAUUUGGCAGCUUGAGAUAGAGAGGUUUUGAGGGCGGCCUUUAGUUCACCUCCGCCUGCCUCGGAAUGGAGUUUCUCAGUGCUCACUGCCUCAUGGGGUGCCAGUCAGGAGCCACACCACACUGAAUCACUGUGCCUCAGUUGGCUCCUCUACGUAUUAACCAUCUCUCAGAUUUUGCCUGUUUGAUGACUUUCACUUGGAGGCGCACGCAGACACUUGGUAGAAUGUCCUUCAGAAACAGUGUUGAGCAUACCUACUAAGUGCAAAACCAAGCACGUCUUACCUUCUUUAACUCUCAGAAUAACCUUGCAAGAUCUAUUUUGGCCUCUUAUACAAGAAAAGGAAUCCAAACACAGACCCAGGGCCACAG